AGGUCUCACGUGUAUUGAAAAAUAGUAGCUCGCAGGUUUGUAGGCGUUAACGGGCCAAUCAGCGAGAGAUGCCGACGAUAAGAGCCAAUGAGCGCCUGGUCUCACAUUGGUGCCAGUUACAAGAACUGAAACCAAGUGGCUGGUCUUUAUUUUUUGCUAUCUGAGUUUUGUGUACCCGUUACCUUGACAACGCAAGUUAGCAAACGCGGGGUCAAGUUACCGGGGCAACAUCCAAUCGCCUUUAACGUCUGCACCAAAGAGUGAUUGAUAAACCUAUAUAUUUACUUAUUUUUCAAUUUUUAUUUGUUGUUGCUUCAUAAUACAAGUUACCUCCAAUUGCUAAAGGUAGAAAAAAUCAAAUCGCCAUAUCAUUAUAUUUUUCUUUCUAAACAGUAAUGCCUUCUCGGGGCACAGACAGUGGUCAAAAGGUUUAACAAUAUACCGUAAAGUGAGUGUUUGGUCGUAACUACGUGUGUGGUUCUGAUAUGUAAGCUCUCAGGGUUUAAGCUUCCUCUCACCCAAUGACAGCUGGGCUCCAGCACCCCUGCGACCUUCAGAGGACAAGCAGUUCAGAAGAUGGAUGAACUAGUCUCACCUCCAGCUUGUAGUGCGAGGGGUGAGAUGGAGCCCAAGCUCUUCCUCAUUGUCUGCCUAGGCGUCCAGGAACAGGAAUGUAAUCCUAAGACUUUGCCAGCCGUAGCCUUGGAUGGAGACAGCCUUGUUUCUGUGACACUGACUGGCAUCAACAAGCUCCCACUGUCCCCAACUACCCUGCACAUGCUCACGCAGCCUUGAAUAUGCAUGAUUUUGUCUGCUCAUUCAUGUGUAUGUGCCGUAUCAUGUAGACCAAUGGGAAUAAACCAUUAAGGCCAUGGACA
rnacentral:lncRNA from 1 species